UACGGAGGGAGCCAGCGUUGUUCGGAAUUACUGGGCGUAAAGCGCACGUAGGCGGCUUUGUAAGUUAGAGGUGAAAGCCCGGGGCUCAACCCCGGAAUUGCCUUUAAGACUGCAUCGCUUGAAUCCAGGAGAGGUGAGUGGAAUUCCGAGUGUAGAGGUGAAAUUCGUAGAUAUUCGGAAGAACACCAGUGGCGAAGGCGGCUCACUGGACUGGUAUUGACGCUGAGGCAGUGAAAGCGUGGGGAGCAAACAGG
rnacentral:rRNA from 1 species